rnacentral:rRNA from 1 species
GUAGUCCACGCCCUAAACGAUGUCAACUGGGUGUUCGGGAAGCGAUUCCUGGGUACCGUAGCUAACGCGUGAAGUUGACCGCCUGGGGAGUACGGCCGCAAGGUUAAAACUCAAAGGAAUUGACGGGGACCCGCACAAGCGGUGGAUGAUGUGGAUUAAUUCGAUGCAACGCGAACAACCUUACCUACCCUUGACAUGUCCGAGAGCCCGCUGAGAGGUGGGUGUGCCCGAAAGGGAAUCGGAACACAGGUGCUGCAUGGCUGUCGUCAGCUCGUGUCGUGAGAUGUUGGGUUAAGUCCCGCAACGAGCGCAACCCUUGUCCCUAGUUGCUACGCAAGGGCACUCUAGGGAGACUGCCGGUGACAAACCGGAG